rnacentral:lncRNA from 1 species
GGGGAGUAUGAGGCCUUAGCCCGCCUCCUCUACUCAUACCCCUCCCUGCUCCAUCCCAGUCGAGAUCAGCGUCUCGCCUCCGAUAACAUCACCACUACUAGAUGGAGCGAACCCGGACCAGAAACACGGCGACCCCUAUCUGGACUCCUAACUGGACCUCCCCCCUUUGCAACUCCCCCCGCCCUCGCCCCGCCGCUCCGCAGAUGAAAAAAUUUGAGUGCAGUCAGCCUUUUCUUUUUGUCCCUGCUAAGCCAUCAUCCUUUUGUGUGGUGCCACCCACACCCAGGGUGGGCCUUCCUUAAUCCUAGAGUCACACACUCUAGAUCCAGCCAUCUGUGAAAAGCCCCACCUGGGAGAACAUGAGACUUUGAGGGGACAUCUACAUACAAGCCAUAACAGUGAUAUUUCAAAAAUAAUGACAAGUGUGGACCAGGUAUCAGUCAAUAAAUAUCCAAGAGGUAGGUUUGGAUGGUGCUCAAGGGUGAAGAGCAGCAGCUUUUCACUAACUUGCACGUAAAUUAUUUCUUUUCUUUUUUGUUUUACAGGGGAUCAAACUCAGGUCCUUGUGCUUUCAAGGCAGGCGGCAGAACCACUGAACUAAAUCCCUGGCCCCUCAACAUUUCAUUCUUAUGACCAUAGGGCCACAUCAGAGAUGUACUGAAUAUCAGAUCUGGCUAUAAAUUUGAGAG